GGGGGGGGGGGGGGGGGGGCGGGGGGGGGGGGGGGGGGGGGGGGGGGGGCGGGGUGGGGGGGGUGCUCGGGGGGGGGACGGGGGAGUAACACGUGAGUAACCUGCCCUUGACUUUGGGAUAACUUCAGGAAACGGGGGCUAAUACCGGAUAGGAGCUCCUGCUGCAUGGUGGGGGUUGGAAAGUUUCGGCGGUUGGGGAUGGACUCGCGGCUUAUCAGCUUGUUGGUGGGGUAGUGGCUUACCAAGGCUUUGACGGGUAGCCGGCCUGAGAGGGUGACCGGCCACAUUGGGACUGAGAUACGGCCCAGACUCCUACGGGAGGCAGCAGUGGGGAAUAUUGCACAAUGGGCGGAAGCCUGAUGCAGCAACGCCGCGUGCGGGAUGACGGCCUUCGGGUUGUAAACCGCUUUCGCCUGUGACGAAGCGUGAGUGACGGUAAUGGGUAAAGAAGCACCGGCUAACUACGUG
rnacentral:rRNA from 1 species